CGCGUGACUGGUCGGAAAAUGACAGGAGGAGGCCGGCGAACCACGCUUGAGCCCAGCCCCGGAGAGCCCAGCCUCCUUUCGUCGUCGCGAGCUCCAGGAACCUUCGAGGGUUUCGAGUUUUCCGACACCUUUUUGGGCGAUUCCGGCGACCGUUGUCGCCGAUCCAGUUCUUUGGUUGCUGAGCUCUGAAUUCUGAAAUAGUGUGAGAGCUUGUUGAGAUGAAACAGUUGAUUGUUUGAGCUUUAGCUUCAUCAAAAGGUACAGAGCAAAAUGGCUAUCGGCGGUUGAUCUCGAACCAGAAUUUCGAUUCUUUUAUCGGCGGUUUGAUCUCAGAUCACUCACCAAUCUCGACUUGGCACUGAUGAGUUGUUUAUGGCAAUAGAUCCUAAUACAAAGCAGCUUUUAUAUUAUGAGGACAAGGCAGACCAUGCAAAAGGAUCUAUAUAUCUGGAUAAGUUGUUGCUCGCUGAUAACCCUUCAAUUACUCUACAUAAUGACAAGCAGAGGUAUUUUCUUUUGCCUUUGCGAUUGUUUCUGGUGAAACUAUGAACAAUUGGAGGUGGUUUCUACAAAGGAUAUCGGAUGUCUUGUUGGGCUUUUUUGGAUUUCUUUUGAAUUUUUUGUAUGAAAUGGUAUUAACCAUGUACUUAUACGACAUGGUAUGAACAAUGUACUUCUAUGACAUGGUAUUAACAAUGUAGGUGAAAAUAUGAACAAUUGGAGGUGGUUUCUGCAAAGGAUAUCGGAUGUCUUGUUGGGUUUUUUUGGAUUUCUUUUGAAUUUUUUGUAUGAAAUGGUAUUAACCAUGUACUUCUAUGACAUGGUAUUAACAAUGUACUUCUAUGACAUGGUAUUAACAAUGUAGGUGAAACUAUGAACAAUUGGAGGUGGUUUCUGCAAAGGAUAUUAGAUGUUUUGUUGGGC